CCUACGGGUGGCAGCAGUAGGGAAUCUUCCACAAUGGGCGAAAGCCUGAUGGAGCAACGCCGCGUGGGUGAAGAAGGUCUUCGGAUCGUAAAACCCUGUUUUUAGAGAAGAAAGGGCGGGAGAGUAACUGUUCACGUGUCGACGGUAUCUAACCAGAAAGCCACGGCUAACUACGUGCCAGCAGCCGCGGGAAGACGUAGGUGGCAAGCGUUAGCCGGAUUUAUGGGGCGUAAAGGGAACGCAGGCGGUCUUUUAAGUCUGAGGUGAAAGCCUUCGGCUUAACCGGAGUAGUGCAUUGGAAACUGGGAGACUUGAGUGCAGAAGAGUAGAGUGGAACUCCCUGUGUAGCGGUGACAUGCGUCGAUAUAUGGUAGAACACCAGUGGCGAACGCGGCUCUCUGGUCUGUACCUGACGCUGAGGUUCGACCGCGUGGGUAGCAAACAGGAUUAGAUACCCGGGUAGUC
rnacentral:rRNA from 1 species